rnacentral:rRNA from 1 species
GACGAACGCUGGCGGCGUGCCUAAUACAUGCAAGUAGGACGCAGUUGCGAACGGGUGAGUAACGCGUAGGUAACUACCUAUGAGAGGGGGAUAACAAUUGGAAACGAUAGCUAAUACCGCAUACUAGUAGAUGGAACUGCGUUGUAUUAGCUAGUAGGUAGGGUAAUGGCCUACCUAGGCAACGGUACCUAGCCGACCUGAGUGGGAUGUCGGGCAACCUGGGAAUGAGACAACGGCCCAACUCCUUCGGGGGGGAGCAGUUGGGAAACAUCGGCAAUUGGGGGAACCCUGACCGAGCAACGCCCGGUGAGUGGAGGAGGUUUUCGGGUCUGAAAGCUCUGUUGUUAAGGGAGCGGUACUUAACCAGAAAGGGACGGCUAACUACGUGCCAGCCGCCGCGGUAAUAC